UGGGGAAUUUUGCACAAUGGGGGAAACCCUGAUGCAGCGACGCCACGUGAUUUAGAAGGCCUUCGGGUUGUAAAAAUCUUUUCUAUGGGAAGAAAAUGACAGUACCAUAGGAAUAAGGACCGGCUAAUUACGUGCCAGCAGCCGCGGUAAUACGUAAGGUCCGAGCGUUGUCCGGAAUCAUUGGGCGUAAAGGGUACGUAGGCGGGUAAGCAAGUUAGAAGUGAAAUCCUAUAGCUCAACUAUAGUAAGCUUUUAAAACUGCUCAUCUUGAGUUAUGGAAGGGAAAGUGGAAUUCCUAGUGUAGCGGUGAAAUGCGCAGAUAUUAGGAGGAAUACCGGUGGCGAAGGCGACUUUCUGGCCAUAACCUGACGCUGAGGUACGAAAGCGUGGGUAGCAAACAGG
rnacentral:rRNA from 1 species